CAGAACCAUACAAUACCUCAAUAGGAUUUGAAAACAUAGGUAUACUAGUCCCAUCAAUGACGUAUAUUUGCUCUUGAAAAUAGAGGGAAGGGGUGUCUAACUUUUAUUUGAGUCCUUUAACAUAAUACAAUGUCUGAAUUAUCUCUUGAUCCUUCAGUACAAAACAACAAGCAAAAAUAACUUUAAAUAGUUAUACAACACAUCCAAGUCAUUUAUUUAUUCAACAAACACAUGAUGGGCAUAAAUUCAAGAGAAAUAUAUAUGAAAUGGUGUUCGUAGUAUUAAUUCAGUCAUAUUAACCACGACAAUACACUACACUUAAAUGACUAAUACAUGAACCUCCAUUUACAAGACCAGGCCACACAUCCUUCACCAAAAACAGUAAUUAACAUAUGGAGAAACUUCUAUUCACGACUCCCUAUUACCAUCCCAUGAGUUGUACCCAUAGGAUACAACUAUAACAUGAAGAACGUGACAUACAUGAGAGAAGGGAACAUUUACAUACCUUACUUGAAGCAUAUAUUGUCCCUUAAAAUUGUAUUUAACCAAGAAGAAAUGUUAUCUCUUUACUCCAUAGACUGUUUUAAGUGAAUAAUAUGAUUUUUUUAGGAAUAAUACUUGAUUCUUGGUUGAUUUCUCAAUUAGGCUUUCGGAGAGGAGAGGGAUUCAAGUACGAGAAAAGACGAGCUUCAUAAAUAACUUAGGAACUGUCUCUAAUGCAUUCACCUCGUACAUAUCAUUUUUAAGAUAUUUUUAUUGACAUAGCAUGUGCCACUCACAUUCCUAACACAACCAAUUUAAGUUUCUGCAUAGUUCGUAGUAAACAAAGCAUAUCUAUUUUCUCUAAUCUUUCUCCAUCGAUCCUAACGCCACAGCUAAAGAGCUCCACCUCCAAAAGUUUGCUCUAUCCUCUUCUUUGGCUCUCAAAUUUUCACCAUGAUGGUCUCCAAAAGAAUUUCUCUCCUCUCUAAGCCUUUGUUUUCUCUUAAUCUCCUCUUGUUCUUAACCUGACAGUUUGAUGCAGUUUAUAGCUGCCUCCUAUCUCAGAUUUAUCUCGAAUCUUCUGGAUUAAGUCAAUAACGUCUUCCUUGGUCCUCCCACUUUGAUGCUGCAAGAGCUUUCCAUUUGUUCACUUGAAAUAAAGAGUAGGAUAACCUUGGAUCUCGAAAGUUUCCUGUGGAAUGUAUCAAUUGUGGCAAUCAUAACAUCAGCAUCACUUUCAAAUGACACAUCCACUUCAUCAAGGAUUGGGGCCAACUGCUUGCACUGUCCAUGCCAUGGGGCAUAGAACUCGACGUAUACAUUCUUCCCAGGGUUGAAAGCCAUUUUCAGCAACCACAACUUUAACAAGUUCGUUGUUAACCUGUGGAAUACCAAGGCAUACUCAACUCGAUAAUAAUAAAUUUCUCGACUUUACUUUUCAGUACAACAUAUUAUAAUGACCCUGUGUUCAUGUUGGGCCCAGGCAACGCCCGAGCUACCUUUACUAUCAUUUUAUAAGAUUGAAAACAAAAAAAAAGAUCAAUUUUAUGAAAUUAAGACAUAAGAUAUUAUGAUUUUUUUUAUUUUACUACCGCCAAUUUAAUCAAGCUCAUCCAAUAAGAAAGAUUUAAAUUUUCUGGA